CAAGAACCCAACACAGCGUCCCCAAUCACUAGUACUCUAGUGUGGGAGCGCUUAACUGGCGCCCGAGCAGGGACCCACAUUCUUCACGGAAGUAAAGGGAAAUGGUGACGUGUCAAUAAUUCUAUAAAAAUAACUUAUUAAAAAAGCAAGUACAAAUAAAUUGUUCCAAUCCAAUAGGGCAAUUGUUGGCAAAAUUAUGAAGUACUUCUGUGAUUUGCAAAGUAAUGGGGUAAAAGUGCUUGCCAUAACAUAAUACAAUAUAUAAUAAAAUAAUUUCUAGCAAGUGUUGGUGCACUAGAUAAUUCUAUAACAUAAAAGAAAUCGUGGCUAAAUGGUGGUAUUGGCAAUACCUAGGUUCAAAUCCGUGCCGAGACGACUCUUAAAACGAAAAUAAAAGAAAUUUGCAGGCAUAAUGGUGGUACGAGAUUUAUUCUCGUAUCGAGGUUCAAAUCCUUCCCGUAAGACAAAUGUCAUAAAAAAUAAACGUCACAAUUUCCACCUGUGUUGAAUGAUGGGUUUCCGUAUAAAUUAAAAGGAACCUAGAGGUCAAAGUUAAGUUUAAAGCACUAACUAAAAGGCGGUUAUCUGGAAAUCUCUAAUCAACAAGCAAAGCGUCUUAGAACCAAAGAGGAAUACUUUGGGCUUCCCUUUCGGAAGAGAAUAAGUCUGGCAACAAUAUAGAAAAGAAAAAAGUAAAAUAAAUAAAUAAAUGAAACGAAAGUAAGAGAAAGUAAGUAGGUCUUACACCAAAAAGGAUCCUGCGUGCUUCCCAAGCCAUAUAAAAUAAUAAAAACUGUUUGCCGGUUCGGUAACAAAAGAUAACUAACAAAA